rnacentral:tRNA from 1 species
GUUUAUGUAGCUUANAUUCACCCAAAGCAAGACACUGAAAAUGCCUAGACGGAUCUACAGACCCCAUAAACA